rnacentral:lncRNA from 1 species
UAUUUCCACACCAAAUAAUUGGGUCAUUCAAUAUUGCAGUAGUAGAAAGGCAUUGUCUAGACAGGAAAUCUAGGAAGUCCAAAAUUCUAGGAGUGGAAGAGGAGGAAACUUUGGUUUUGGAGAUUCUCGAGGUGGCGGUGGCAAUUCUGGACCAGGACCAGGAAGCAACUUUAGGGGGGGUUCUGAUGGAUAUGGAAGUGGACGUGGAUUUGGGGAUGGCUAUAAUGGGUAUGGAGGAGGACCUAGAGGAAAUUAUGGAAGUGGAAAUUACAAUGAUUUUGGAAAUUAUAACCAGCAACCUUCUAACUACGGUCCAAUGAAGAGUGGAAACUUUGGUGGUAGCAGGAACAUGGGAGGACCAUAUGGUGGAGGGAACUAUGGUCCUGGAGGAAGUGGAGGAAGUGGGGGCUAUGGUGGAAGGAGCCGAUAUUGAGCUUCUUCCUACUUACCAUGGGAAGGUGUCUUGCUGCAGGUAACUAAUGAAGAAGUGGUCAACCACAGAGUCUUCAAGAAAUAAGAAAUUCUGUACCAUCUGAAAGUAGUUCUUGUUGGUGCCUUCAUUUAAGAAGCACUUUUAAGAUAAAAGGGAAUGUUUUCUGAUUAAAAACUUCAUUUAGUACAGGUUCUUAAUAAAAUUACAAAAAUGAGUGUUGAUUGUAAAGGGUAACAUCAGAUUAGCUAAGGAUAAUGUGUUAUGUUUUAAAUUAGGAUUUGUGAGUAGACAGAUAAGCUCUAUUUUAAAUACAAGUUUUAUAAAAUAAAUACUUUUGUAACCAAAAAAAAAAAAAAAGACAGCAAUACACACAAAGAGAAAAAUAUUCCAUGUUAAAGAUACAGAAGGUACCUUUAGCUAAACUAAAAGGUUAAUCAAACCCGAGAAAACACAAG